UUCUUCCUGUUCAAGCAUUCUGCUGUAACUGCAUUUCUUGGAUUUGUUCUAGGUCUUGCAGUGAUGCCAGCAGAGUAACUACAGGAAGUAGAAUAUAUGCACUGGUUUUUGGGAUGCUGAUGAACCUCUUUCUGAAUGUUCAGUAUCUUCUGUCCCAGAGAUUUAGUGCUACAGAU
ensembl:snoRNA